rnacentral:rRNA from 1 species
GACGAACGCUGGCGGCGUGCUUAACACAUGCAAGUCGAACGCUGAAGCUCAGCUUUUGUUGGGUGGAUGAGUGGCGAACGGGUGAGUAACACGUGAGUAACCUGCCCCCUUCUUUGGAAUAACGCCCGGAAACGGGUGCUAAUACUGGAUAUUCACUGGUCUUCGCAUGGGGGUUGGUGGAAAGGGUUUUUCUGGUGGGGGAUGGGCUCGCGGCCUAUCAGCUUGUUGGUGGGGUGAUGGCCUACCAAGGCUUUGACGGGUAGCCGGCCUGAGAGGGUGACCGGUCACAUUGGGACUGAGAUACGGCCCAGACUCCUACGGGAGGCAGCAGUGGGGAAUAUUGCACAAUGGGCGCAAGCCUGAUGCAGCGACGCCGCGUGAGGGAUGGAGGCCUUCGGGUUGUGAACCUCUUUCGCUCAUGGUCAAGCCGCAACAAUGGUUGUGGUGAGGGUAGUGGGUAAAGAAGCGCCGGCUAACUACGUG